GUGCUCACUUUGGCAGCAUAUAUUCUAAAAUUGUAAAGAUACAGAGAAGAUUAGCAGGGCCCUUGCACAAGGAUGAUACAAAUUCGUGGUGUUCCUUUUUUAA